AUCAAAUUGUCACCUCAAGACUGCCAGCAAGGAGCCGUUACCAGAUCCCGCCCCUCAGCCUUGUACCAGAAUCAAAAUUUUCCUUUUGCUUGCUCAAGCCCGGAAAAUUCAAUAGCAAGCGACCCCACCUUCUCAUGAAUAUUCAACAGCAAGGGGCUGGAAGGAAGUAUGAGAGAAAAACCUCCCAAGAAAUUCAACCUGGGUCGGCCCGCCCCGCCCUGAGCGCUUCCUCCGAAGCACUAUAGCCCAGCCGUGUCUGCAAGCCGAGCCGCGGAACGUGCCCCGACCGAACAGCCCUCCAGAGCCGACCCGAACUCGGGCCGGCAAAGGCAGCC
rnacentral:lncRNA from 1 species